rnacentral:rRNA from 1 species
CAAUAGCGUAUAUUAAAGUUGUUGCAGUUAGAACGCUCGUAGUCGGAUUUCGGGACGGGCCGACCGGUCUGCCGAUGGGUACGCACUGGUCGGCGCGUCCUUCCUUCCGGAGACCGUGCCUACUCUUAACUGAGCGGGGGCGGGAGACGGAUCGUUUACUUUGAAAAAAUCAGAGUGUUUCAAGCAGGCAGCUCGCUCUUGCAUGGAUUAGCAUGGGAUAAUGAAAUAGGACUUUGGUGCUAUUUUGUUGGUUUCGAACACCGAAGUAAUGAUUAACAGGGACAGUCAGGGGCACUCGUAUUCCGCCGAGAGAGGUGAAAUUCUCAGACCAGCGGAAGACGAACUACUGCGAAAGCAUUUGCCAGGGAUGUUUUCACUGA